CUUUUCCUAAAAAUACUGUAAAAAGCAGGAGGAGCCAAGAUGGUGGAACAGCAUGGAAGUUUUUUUGUGUGUCUUGUGUCCAUGAAAUACGGCCAGACCCACACUAAACCAUCCUGCACACCUAGAAAACUGAUUGGAGGAUUAAGACAACAGUCUGCACAACCUGAACCACAGAAUUCAGCAGGGGACUUGACUCUCAUUAAAGUGAAAAGGGACAUGAACUGAAUUUUCAUAGAGUUCCUGGACAAACUGCAAGAAAGACACAGGCAGAAGAGACAUGGUACGGUGAUGUAAGAGUCAGGGGAAAGACAGGAGGGCAGAGAUUUUGCAGGUUAAUACUUUAUAAAAGAUGUGCAUGGCUAACUUAUGGAAUUUUGGCUGCAACUUCCAACCAGAAAUAUGGAUGGUUCACUAGGCUGGCAUGCACAGAAGCAAAAUCUCCCAGCCCAAAAUGUGUCUCUUUGCAUGUGGAUUAUUUUAAGCUAAAUACUUUUUUGUUUUAUUUUAGAGAGAGUGUGUGAGCAGGGGAGAGGGGCAGAGACAGACAGACAGACAGAGAGAAUCCCAACAAGGCUCCAUGCCCAGCACAGAGCCCGACACAGGGCUCGAUCCCAUGACCCUGGGAUCGUGAACUUAGCCGAAACCAAGAAAUGGACGCUCAACCAACUGAGCCACCCGGGCACUCCCAACCUGAUUAUUAUUAUUUAAAAAAAAUUUUUUGUUCAUUUAUUUUUGAGAGAGAGAGAGGGAGAGACAGAGCACAAGUGAGAGAGAGAAGGAGAUAGAGAAUCCAAAGCAGGCUCCAGGCUCUGAGCUGUCAGCACAGAGCCCGACGUGGGCCUUGAACUCACAGACUGCAAGAUCAUGACCUGAGCUGAAGUCAGACACUUAACUGACUGAGCCACCCAGGCUCCCCUAAGCUGAUUAUUUUUAAGAACAGAAAAGUCAGGAAGAAACUUUGACCUUUCCCCUAACUACCUGAAAAUUUGUUUGAUAGAGGACUGGCUGGCUCCAGGAAGGAAGGCACUACCACAGACAACUACAGUAUAAUAUGAAGAAAGUAUGAUAGACUGGGAGGAACCUAGCAAGGCCUAUUUGAUCAAAGUCCUUUCUAUGUCCCAUUGUUUCUGGAUGGCCCCACAAACAUGUUUCCUAAACAUUUACUCUUUCC
rnacentral:lncRNA from 1 species